UUAAAAUAACAUAUAACGUUUUUUCAAGAAAUUAAAAAGUACAAGAAAUAUUGCUAAACUUUAUUUAUAAGGCUCAGAACACUAUUAUUUAUGAGAUAUACAAUUGAAAAAGAAUUUUAGUUUUCGAGAUAUACAAUGAAAUGUAAUGUUGAAUCACACACACGAAAAUUUUUUUAAAUCAUCAUUUUCGGACUCCUGGAGUCAAAUAACAUCGAAAUAUGUCAAAAAAUUACAAUCUGAAAUUUUGGGAUGUGUAACAACGAGCUGCGAUGAGUGAUCCGAAUGUAAAGAAUUGUAAUAUAGUAGAUAGAGAGAGUGAGUGUGAUAUGCGAAAAUAGAGAGAACAAUUACUAUUCGAAAUAUGUGGAUAUGAUAGAACCAAGGCGUUGCGCAGUUUUAAAUUAGCGAUCAGUGUGGUCAACGAUCCCGUGACGAGUUCACGGGAAAAGUAUAAGGAGAUCUAUAUCACCGAAAGGCGACUUGCCUUUAAGUUUGCAUAACGCUCUAAAGGGCGGUUAGUGUUUUAAAGCGAUCAACACCGUGUAUGGAAGUUCGCUUGCCGGUGAACGGCUUAUACUCAAAUUUAUAUUUUAUAUCAAAUAAACGUUUGUGACGACUUUACUACCACGGAACAUUUAUUAACUCAGGAUCUAAAUUAAUGAUCUAUUGUCUCAUUAAUUACCACAACGAAUUUUAUAUAGACUGAAUGUGUAUAGAUAGGCAUGUGUCGGAAAAUAUUUAUCUAAGUAUGUGGAGUGACAAUUAAAUUUAAAUAUAAAUUUUUAUUAAAGAAAUAAACGAAAUUAUAAUAUUUUCUGCAACUCACAGAUUUUUGUCUUUCUUAUUUAUUUAAAUCUAAGUAAAUUUUAUACAGAUGGAAAUAAACUUUAUAACUGUGUUUAAUAUUUAUCUUUUAAUUUUUUCAUAAAUCAGAUUCUCAACUUUGGAAAAAAACAUGAAUUUGAAAGGUCAUUUUUAACAAAAAGAAGAGAAAGUAAAAUGAUGUGAGUAUAACAAUCAGCGGUUUACAGUGAAAAUGAAAGGAAUAUUUAAAAUAAAAAAAGUUGUAUCUGAAGAAUUGUUAUCAUUCUAUUAUAUUUAUAUAUAUAUUUCUUUUUUGUUUCAAAAAAUAUACAUACAGAAAAAUUAAAGCAAUUCAAAUUUUACUAUAACUUAAAUAUUUAAUGAUAAGUUUUUUUCACCUAAAACUUGAAAAAAUGAAAUUAUUAAGUAAAAUUCAAUUUUAUUAUUAUGUUUUAAGUUCAGAGAAAAUUUUUCUAAAAAUGAAUUUUCUAAGCAAAGAGUUAAGUUUUAUUAAAAUAUUCUUUUAGAUAAAUUAAAAUAAAUUAAACUUUACCAAUUUUAUUAAUUUUAUAAAACAAAUUAACUCUACUUUAAAUGAUUUUUUUAUCGUCAUUAUUUUAGGUAUUCUUAAAAUUUUCUGUAUUUAAUGUAGCUUUAUCCAUCAAUUUUUUUUGUAACUAAAAUGCUCUUAUCUACUAAUGUUACAAAAUAAAUUAGAAAUUUUUAAUGCUUUUUAUGAGUUUAAAAAAAUAAU